CUCCCUCCCUGCCUCCAUGCCUACUUUGAAGGACCUUCAACUAAGGCAGUCAGUAAGUCAGGUAGCACCACACCUGGAAUUCUUCCUCAGGCAAAUAGAGCAUCACCGGCAUCUUACCCUCAGCCAAUAGGAUGUUUCACCCCCCAAAUCCCAUCCCAGCCCCCAAGGUUCACAUGGUCUUUGUCUACCUGGAAUAAAGAUGCCAAGAACCGCCUGAGACUGGUUGUAUUUUUCGAACUGUAUGCUUGGGGGAGGGCUCUCUUUCCUGAAGAACACAUCCUUGGACCUUGGACCCAUUUGCUUGGCCAGGCUCCAACGCCCGGAAGAGGCUCACAGCAGAGCACUGGUUGCUGACAUAGCGGCCGCA
rnacentral:lncRNA from 1 species